UGCCUUCCAAGCCCAGCCCUGCUCCCACCUCAGUGACCGCCAUCCCUGUUAUGUCUUGCCUGGAAGGUGGCAGCCGCCUUCUCACAUCUCACUGGUUCCCUGCCCCAUCCUUGUCCCCAUGGCCCAGUACCCACAUAGUGGCCACAGGGGUCAUAACACUGAGUCUGACCAUCCUCCUCCCUCACCCGGGCUCACAGCCUUCCAGUUCCUCCAGCAGCCACCUCUGCCAUUUACAAAUCUUCAUGUGUGCUGUGACCACCCAGAAUGCUCUUCCCAGCUCUGUGUCUAGCAUCCUCACCCCCACUUGGAGUCUGGCCCUUCUGGACCACGUCACUCGCCACUGCACCCCACCCCCCAUCUCUGUUCUUCAGAGCACUAGUCUUGCCCUAUGAUGGCUUCUCCACUGACCAUCAUCUGUGCUGCAGUGUUCACUCCACAAAGGCUGGCAUGCAGGAGGCACUUAAUGAAUGCACACAGAUAGUUCUGUUGAUGAUUAGGGUUAAGGAUAGGAGGGCAAGGACAGAUGCUAUAAAGAUGACAGGGUGGCCUCCCCGAGAGGCUGAUGCUGAAGAACGGGUGUUCCUAGGCCAGGGCAGGAGGCAUGAGGCCCCCAUGGGCUGUGGGAGACCUUCAUGGCUGAAGCUGACUGUAACCAGGCCAAGAGGUGAUGGUAGGUGAUGAAGGGCCUGAACACCAAGGAGCAAGGACAUUCUCCUCCCACAUUCUCACAUGGCCAGGGAGCAUCAUUUAUCCAUUCAGUCACUCAUUAAUUCAUUCAACAAAUAUCUCCUAAACAUAGGCCCAACCCAGAGCUGGAUCACAAGGAAGACUGGAAGCUCCACUCCCCCAUGGAGCUUCCCUGUUACCAGAGGACACAAACACACAUCUGCAUGUUGAUCUGAGAGCCCUGUGUGGAGAGGAACUAGGCCCCCAGCCAACAACCAGCAGUGACUCACUGUGAGAGAGUGAAUCAUCUUGGAAGUGGAUCCUAAGCCCCAAUAGAGACUUCAGAUGAAACUGCAACCCUGGCUGACAUCUGACUGCAGUGGCAUAAGAAACCCUUAUGUCAGAAUCACCCUGCAAAGCCCAAAUUCUUGACCCACCAAGUGAAAGAGAAUAAAUGACGA
rnacentral:lncRNA from 10 species